UAAAAAUGCCUGAAUGGAAUAUUUAAAUUACAAACAUAAAUUGCAAUUAUUAUCUUUUUAUGUAUUUUCAGGCAUUUGAAUGUUUCUUAUACAUUUGGGCCAUUCAUCAUCCUGCCAGUGGUUAUAUUCAAGCAAUGAAUGAUCUUGUAACGCCAUUUAUUGUUGUCUUUUUACAUGAAGUUGUUUCUCCAGAAGCUUCCAGUUCUGACCCAUCAGUUUACUAAUUUCUGUAUUUGGUAAGUGGGGCCAUCGCUGACAGUAACUCCUCCGGUAUAUUCUGUUCCAAAUCAUGAAGGCAUUCAUUGGCCUUUUGAUACAGUUUUCAGCUUUCUUCUGUUGCUUGUCUUUGGCCUGACUCCUCCUCUCCCAUGUGGUUAGUGAAAAAAAACAGGCAUUUGAACGUGUCUUAUACAUUUGGGCCAUUCAUCAUCCUGCCAGUUCUUAUAUUCAAGCAAUGAAUGAUCUUGUAAUGCCAUUUAUUGUUGUCUUUUUACAUGAAGUUGUUUCUCCAGGUAAUAAAUAAAUAUUAUCUAAUAUAUUAAGAACUAAUUCAGGAGCAUAGUUAAGUGAAAUUGGAUCAGUUUAUCUCUGAUUCUGUUUAAAUGGUCCACAGAUUGAUGACUGAGCAUCACUGGUCUAGAUCACUGGUAGAUAUCUGCAUCAAAACUUCUUAUUUAUGUAAAGAAAAAUAUAACAUUUUGCUAGAAAAAAAUGUAAAUUCUGUAGAUUUACAGUAUCAACAUUUUCACUUUUCCUGUUAGGACUUUUUUAGUGUUUAAGUCUAUAAUUAGUUUUUUUGUUAAUGUUACAAACAGCUAGCAAAGCUAACAGUUACAAACAGAAUAUUGUAUAUUCCUAUAAUGUAUAAGCUCUAUUACAUUUGUGACUUAUAUAAAACAACUGCUUUGAAAUUGUCAGAAAAUAAAAUUUAAUCAGUUUUGUAAAGAAAUUCAUAAUCAAGUAAAUGUAUCAAUGAUAAAUAUUAUGAUGAAACAAUCAUCCAUUAUUUAUCAAUUCGAUAUACUAUACUAUGUAACAUAAAAAUGUUACUCAUGAAAAAUGCAAACCUAAACUGCCAGAUUGCCUGCAGGCUACAUUGAGACAAUUUAGC